rnacentral:tRNA from 1 species
GCCGAGGUAGCCAAGCCCGGUUCACGGCGAUAGCCUGGAAAGCUAUUCUCCAAUAGGAGGCAUGAGUUCGAAUCUCAUCCUCGGCGCCA